CAGCAGCCACGGUAAUACGUAGGGUGCAAGCGUUAAUCGGAAUUACUGGGCGUAAAGCGUGCGCAGGCGGUUAUAUAAGACAGAUGUGAAAUCCCCGGGCUCAACCUGGGAACUGCAUUUGUGACUGUAUAGCUAGAGUACGGCAGAGGGGGAUGGAAUUCCGCGUGUAGCAGUGAAAUGCGUAGAUAUGCGGAGGAACACAGAUGGCGAAGGCAAUCCCCUGGGCCUGUACUGACGCUCAUGCACGAAAGCGUGGGGAGCAAACAGGAUUAGAUACCCCUGUAGUCCCUGUCUCUUAUAC
rnacentral:rRNA from 1 species